GGAUGAGCCCGCGGCCUAUCAGCUUGUUGGUGGGGUAGUGGCCUACCAAGGCGACGACGGGUAGCCGGCCUGAGAGGGUGACCGGCCACACUGGGACUGAGACACGGCCCAGACUCCUACGGGAGGCAGCAGUGGGGAAUAUUGCGCAAUGGGCGGAAGCCUGACGCAGCGACGCCGCGUGGGGGAUGACGGCCUUCGGGUUGUAAACCUCUUUCAGCAGGGACGAAGCGAGAGUGACGGUACCUGCAGAAGAAGCACCGGCCAACUACGUGCCAGCAGCCGCGGUAAUACGUAGGGUGCAAGCGUUGUCCGGAAUUAUUGGGCGUAAAGAGCUCGUAGGCGGUUCGUCGCGUCGGCUGUGAAAACCUGAGGCUCAACCUCAGGCCUGCAGUCGAUACGGGCGGACUUGAGUUCGGCAGGGGAGACUGGCAUUCCUGGUGUAGCGGUGAAAUGCGCAGAUAUCAGGAGGAACACCGGUGGCGAAGGCGGGUCUCUGGGCCGAAACUGACGCUGAGGAGCGAAAGCGUGGGGAGCGAACAGGAUUAGAUACCCUGGUAGUCCACGCCGUAAACGUUGGGCGCUAGGUGUGGGGCUCAUUCCACGAGUUCCGUGCCGCAGCUAACGCAUUAAGCGCCCCGCCUGGGGAGUACGG
rnacentral:rRNA from 1 species